AUAAUACCCUAUAGAUUACAGAUGCUGGAAUGCUCUGUAGUCCAAAGUUCCGGCGCCUCAGGAUGGAUCUGCGGCCGAUUAGGUUGUUGUUGGGGUAAUGGCCCAACAAGCCAGUGAUCGGUACGGGUUGUGGGAGCAAGAGCCCGGAGUUGGAUUCUGAGACACGAAUCCAGGCCCUACGGGGCGCAGCAGGCGCGAAAACUUUACAAUGCGGGCAACCGUGAUAAGGGAACCUCGAGUGCCUGUAUAUGCGGGCUGUCCAGGUGUCUAAAACACACCUGAAGAAAGGGCCGGGCAAGACCGGUGCCAGCCGCCGCGGUAAUACCGGCGGCUCGAGUGGUGGCCACUUUUAUUGGGCUUAAAGCGUUCGUAGCUGGGUUGUUAAGUCUCUUGGGAAAUCUGGCAGCUUAACUGUCAGGCGUCUAAGGGAUACUGGCAAUCUUGGGACCGGGAGAGGUGAGGGGUACUUCGGGGGUAGGAGUGAAAUCCUGUAAUCCUCGAGGGACCACCUGUGGCGAAGGCGCCUCACCAGAACGGCUUCGACAGUGAGGGACGAAAGCUGGGGGAGCAAACCGGAUUAAAUACCCGGGUAGUCCCAGCCGUAAACGAUGUGCGUUAGGUGU
rnacentral:rRNA from 1 species